GCCGGUGUGGCUCAGUGAAUAGAGCGUCAACCUUCGGACUGAAGGGUCCUGGGUUCAAUUCCAGGCACAUGCC
rfam:Myotis lucifugus cont2.21615, whole genome shotgun sequence.